CUGUUUUGAAUUAUAAAUUUACAUCAAAGUAUACUACUAUUUGUGUAAUGUUAUUACUGAAAAUGAACUUAUGGAAGUAUCCAUUUAUUUCCCGAAAAUCGAAGGGAAAUUAAGGAAUUAGCGGAAAGCGGAAUUAAUCGCUAUUACUUCUAAAAGAGGUAUAAAGGGAAGCGUAUAAAAGGGAGAAUAUUUUUCAUUUAAUUUAGGCUGACAUUGAUCCAUCUUUAUCGCUGGUUACCCUCGGUUUGCUGUCUUUUGGACACGCCUUCCUGACGCUUGGCUUGCCAGAAACGUUGAACCAGGAAUUACCAGAAACCCUACAGGAGGGUAACGACUUCGGCAAGGAACAAAGUUUCUGGUGGGUUCCGUGUAUAUCCUCGAGCAAAAUGCUGAAAAAAUCUUAUAGAAAGAAGAAAGGCCUUUCAAAUCCAGCGUUUACUGGCAGUGUUCAAAAAAUGGAUUGUACUAGGUUAUAGUGGUUAGAUUUGGCGACGGCGCGAAACUUGCCAGUAGGGUAAAACUUACCAGUGGCAUGAAACUUGUCAAUGGCAUGAAACUUGUCAAUGACAUGAAACUUGUCAGUGACAUGAAAUUGCCAGUGGCGUGAAACUUGCCAAAUUUGUUGUAAAUAUAGUUAUUAAACGUGUGCGUGUGAUGUUAGAUGUUAAGAUAUUACGAACGUAUUGAGAUUGGAGAGCUAUUGAGAGAAACUAGGAGGAAGUAUCGAUUAUUGCAGUGAAAGAGACAAGAAUCGUCAAAUUACACAAAGAGUGAUAGUGUUGAUGUCCAUUGAAGUGUGUCUUAUGGUAGCAAGGCAACGACCAGAAAUGUUGGUCCCUUCCGAAUUCUUCGCCUUGCUUGAUAGUCUGAGGAAGAUUCUGGCCGACAGUUUCCGGCAGGAACAAAACCAGUGCAGCGCCAAAAAAGGACACCGUGCUGAUAAUGAGCAUUGGAAAUCCCUCCCAAAUUGCAGCCUAAUGAACAAAUAUUAAUUUAUAUGAGCAAAGGUUAAAUACCAUGAAAAUCUGGUCAAAGUAUUUCUCAUUUAAAAAGUUUCAUUAGAAAGUUUCAACCAAUAUAGUUUCAUAUCUUAAGUUAUUCCAUCAUUUUUUAUUUUAAAUUUCAAUUUUUUGAUUAAAGAUCAGUUAAAGAAAAGAGUUGGUUGCAACUUCCAAAACGGGCUUUCUAGAAAGUGAGAAAUAUUUUGAUCAGAUUUUUAUAAUAUUUAACUUCUUCAGGAAACAACUUGUUUUAAGGUAAGAAAAAAACUAUUUUACAUUUUCAUGAGAAAAUUUACAUGAGAACUUUUUCAUAAUUUCUAAUAGCGCUUAUUGUAUCUUUUGGAAUAAAUUAAAGAGAAGUUGAACGUGGAUGUACUUAGCGGUGUUUCAAAAAUGUUGUAACAACAAUAGUAGUAUAAAUAUUUAUUUACCGAGUCAGUGAUAUAUGGCGCCAAAGAGUGUGCAACUAUUCCGAAAAUAUGAAUGAAAGAUACGCCCUGCGAUCUGACUGGCGUGGGCAGAAGUUCUGCUGCAUACUGAAGACCAACAUUGGCUGCCAUGUUCAGACAGAAUCGCGACAAUAUUGACAUUACUAAUUUCGCGAGCACUGGGGAAUAAAUUAAAAAAUACAAAAUUAAUCCUGGGUACACAAUACUUGAUUAUCGAUAUAUUUACUGGAAUGCAGCAUAAGUUCAGCGAUACUGAGCACACAGGUCAUUGCCAUCGUGAGAAAUCCGCAGAGUCUACGACCCCAUCGGUCGAGCAACAGGGCGAGUAAUAACCCAGCUGGAAGUUCUGUGGCACAGGCGAUCAAGAACGACACGAACACCGAGCUCUGGAUAAGUUUUAAUGAAUACACGUGACCGUCGAACGAGAUCAGGGUGAAACACCUACAAGAUUGUAUCGGUUAUUUAUGAAGGUUUUCUCGCAACAUGAACUCGUAUCUUAUACUUGUCAGAAUGCAACUAGAAGAAUAGUGUUUCUCGCCAACCGUGGCGUUUUGAACAGAUCGAGCAGCGUCGCUGAUUCUUGAAUUUUGUCCGGUGCCUCCAUGUUACUCUGCAAGAAUUUAUUUCGAGAAUAAUUAACGAAAGAUAUAAUACGAGUCGUGCCUUUAGCCCUUACACAGUUCAAAAUUCAUAACACACUGAAAAGAAAUUUUAUUUUCAUUUUAUUCGUCAUUAAUAGAUAGCACGAACAGUGGCACUUUGCAUUCUGUUUUAUGGAAUUAGUCGGCAUGGCUUUUGAUAUCGAGAUUUAUUAAUAUAAUGGGUGGUUGGUUGAUUAAAUACUUUUCUGAUCCGAAAUACAGUCGGGAACAAAACUAAGUGGAUUAGUGGAGAAAAUGUGAAAAUUCAUUUCAAUCAUUUGCUGAACUAUCUGCAUAUUAUUAGAAGGAAAUAUAAUAAAUAAAACUCAAGUAUAUGAGGCUGAUACUAAUUUGAUUAUACUUUCUUCACAUCUAUUUCCAUUAACUAUAGCAGCUUAUUUUUAUCCCCGAUUGUACUUGUAAAUUGUAAAUAUUUUAUAAUUUCUAUAUAAAUUCCCAGAUUUACUUCAAAUUUUGUACGAGAUCGAUAUAAUACCACAAUGGAAUCGCGACAGUCAAGUUUCAUUUCAUAUUUCAUUUUUCAUCGCGUUUCAUUUUUAAAACCUGUCUAUGCAUGUUAAAAUACAUUCGCGAGUCUGUGUGUUUUCGACGUGAAUCAAAUAUAUCUGUCAGCACAGAUUCAAGUACUGUACCGUAUGAUUUCGCUUUCUCAACAACCUUGUCCAUCAUCCCGUUGGAAACGUACCAGCUUGAACAGAGCAAAUACGAGUGAUAUGGAUCGAUAAGUAAAUUUGCAUAAAUCUCAAAGCGCAAGUUGAGAAUUCGAAUAAUCGAACGAUUAGGAGUUUACUUACCGGGCGCUCUCGGGAAGAAUCCACGGUGUGAUAGCGACAGAUAACAGCGGUAUGGCAGUAACUAAUAGAACAUGGAAGAUUUAUCGAGUGAAACCGGUUAUUAUUAAUAUGGAGCAAUUGAUGACGAGCCGAAUGAACGAUACCAUCAACAUAAUUGUAGGAUAAUUUUAUCGAACGCCAGUCCAGUGAGAAACCUACAGACGGCGAAUGACCAAAAACUAUUUGCGCUGGCAGUGAAAAUGGAGGCAAAAAGGGCGAUACCAUUGCAGAACAUUAAAGCUGGGAUACGACCCUUCUGAUCGGCGAUCCAACCGACUAGGAAACCACCGAUGAUGGAUCUGCAGAAGAAGAUGGCCUGCGCCGUUGAUACGAGGUAUUCUCGGUCGCAUACCCAAUCUAGCUAAUCACCAAGGUUAAGAGUUAGUCAGCGAAAAACCAGAUUCAUAUUUUUCAGAAUAUAAUUUUAAUCCUGCUGCGGUCUUCGAAUUUUUAUAUCUCGAUUCUGCUCGCAGUUCGAUGAAUGAAAGAGUUCUUUAUGCUCUGAAAAAAACGUUCGCGUAAAAUCGGAACGAGGAAUUAUCCGUACUAACAAUUAUCGUCUUAUACUUUCUUUAAACUUAAGAAAUUUACUAUAACAAGGUUAGAGUAGAUCGGAAAUGACCCAAAGAACGCAGCAGAAGUGUAAGAAUUUCGAAGCAUGCGAUUCAGACAACGAUGUGAAUACUUCACCUCAGUUCCUAUACUAGGAUAUGGAAUCUGCGUAAAAUUAUACUCUCAUUGAGUACAUUUUAUCGUUUUGUUUGGUUGGAAGCCCGAUGAGCUCAGGCUCUUAUCGCUCUUCAACAGCUCUGUGAAGUUUACGUCCUUCCGUUGACAUUGUUCGUAAUAAGGAUAAACGUUCGUCACUGGAAUCGCUAUCUUAAUCCUAAACACCCCAUACGAUAGAUGAUUGAUCAUUUUAAUUAUUAAAAUAAGAACCAAAGUCCAGACAGAGUAAUCCAAAAAUAUCUUGUAUCUUAUCGUGAAAUUUUUCUACAAUAUUUUCUAAUAAUUUUCGAAAUGUUCGAAAAUUCGAGAAAUUCCAGAAAUCGCGAUAUCUCGCAUAUUUUUCACAAUAUUUUAAAGUCACUUUCUACGAACAAUCAAAAAUAUCGUUCAAAGUUUAAAGGAGCUUUCGUUGCUACGUAUAUCUCCUUUUCUUUCUUUCCUUCAUUAUACAUACUUACCUCUCUUCUUCAGUGAAAUUCGAGUUUACUAAUUCGUCUAUCCUGCACCAGUGUUCCGUGGGAAUAAUCGUAAUGAAAAAUUGCGAGAAAUACAGAAACGCGUACGUCGCGCCAUAAGGUAGUAACGACAAUAACAACAGCCAUUGAUAUCUCCCGUAGUCACCGACAUACGGCAGAACAUCAUCGAAAGUUUCCAAUCUUGGUCUCAAUCGAGUCGCUUCAGUGGGCAAUAUAGUGUUACUCUUCUCGUCCUUCAUUUCGCUGAAACAGAAUCCAUCCUUGAUUUCCAGGCGUAGCAGUAUAAAAGUCGUAUAACAAAGUUUUCAGUCUUCUAGUCUUUGAAAUAAAUGUCAUUCGGCAGUUCCUUUGAUGUUUCACAUUCUGUGAUUCCAAUUACAAUGCUCCUUUCCUCUCCCACAAACAGGAAAUUAUUUUCUGACAGAACGCAGGAACAAUCUUACCCGUCAUUCACGUUUUCCCCUUCCAUAGUUCGAGCAGCAAAGUCUCAAUUAUGAUUUUAGAUUUUGAAAGGCAACGGAGAUGAAAGAGGAGACCCGAUAUGCUGAUCGAAAGACGUUCGGAAAUGAACUGAAAGAACGAGCGAAGUCCGGCAACUGUUCGCUUUGUUUUCGAUUCGGUUAAACGUUAAAUUAAGUGUAAGUGUUUGCUCGAGUGCCGGCCAAUUACUGUGCCGGGAGUCAAGUGAAUCGUGACACGCGACUCGUUCAAAUUGAAUUGCAUACGAACCACGCUCGCGAGAUCAUCUUUAAAAAGGGCUGAUUCGGUAUACGCGGCGAUAUCAACGUGAUAUCUACAUGUCUGAGGAAAGUUUCGACGAAAGAAAUAGCCUCGAGUGCUGGUUAAUGGUGUUCGAGUUAUCGUUUGGAUAUCGAUAUUAUAGAUUUGCAAAUGAGAUAGAAGAACCGAAGGAAAGUUUGUUGACUCUGUCAUAUUUAAUUAAAUGCAGGAGAAAAAUUGAAUGGAAUAAUUUUCUGAUUAAUAUUGUUUGUUUAUUACUCGUAAUCCUCUUACCCGGCGACUUAAGGGUGACUUCCGGUUACAGUGCUUAACUAAACUAAGUUUUCGAUCAAUAUAUUGAACUCUAUUGGAAAAUAACCGAGAAAAUUUUAAGCCAUCGAAGGCCAAGAAUAAAUGAAAUAAUUGAAGGUUUUUCAAACCUGUUUUAACACUAAUAUCAGGGAUAUAAGAAGAUGGUACUUCUGAUGUAUCAACGCAAUUAUUUGAUUAUUUACCAUUCGUUAAAACAGACGGUCUUAGGGACUGAGGUGGUUAAUUAGAUAUUGAAAAAUUAAAAGAACGAUUUCCAAGUUAAAAGUAAAAUAAUAUAUCGAUCUUUCGCAAAAUUUUUAUAUCAAAUUGUUCAUUUUCGUAUCAGAUAGAGCAAAAGGUUAAACUGAUAUGUUUACUUGAAAAUGGAUUCAGGGAAAUUAAUCAUUUGCCAAUUAAAUUUAAGCGAAUACGUGAAACAAUAUUAUCAUAUAGAAUAAACACGGAAACGAAACAGCUGACAGAAAAACCAUCGAUUUCGAGACAUCGAUUAGAAUGACUAAUGUCAUUGUCAGGAGCGAGAAAGUGGUCGAGUGCUCGAAAUAACUGACCUGUUUGGAAAAUACGACAACGAGAAACGUUCGUGUCUACGAGCCAUCGUGUCUACAUAAUAAAUACUUGCGUGUGUACGUCUACACAAAUGGCGACAUUUUUAAAAUCAAAAAUAGAGUAUAUUACCCUUGAUCGUCCAAACGAAACAAUUGCUUAUAAUUACAAGACAUUUGAUAUAGGACUUUGAGAAAUCAAUAUGCUACAAUUUGUUGGAAACAUUUAGCUUGCACAUAAAUCACAUAUGAGCCAAACUCACGCGACUGAUAACGUUACAUUGCACUGAAACUGAGGACUCGAUCGAUUCUCAAAAUUCCAAAUACAAUCUUUUAAAUUAAUUUUCACUCAUUAUCAAGAAUCCAAUCAAAAUUUCUUUUUCCUAAUUUAUUAGUAACAUUCUUAGGUAGAACUAAUAAUUAUCGCUUCUCUUUUAUAAACGAUUAUCAAAGCGAAAAAUUAAAUUCAGUCUAUAGAAGAAAAUGAAUACAGAAAUUGAAACCCUUAUCUGUCACCAAACGAUUCUUCUAUGUCUAAUUAACGAUAGUCUCACGACGUCAAAGUGAAACUCCAAACUGAUCGUUUCUCGUUGCUCUUUGUUCAAAAUAUCGAUCACGAUUAAUCAGGCACUACCAACCACAUCCACUAAUAUCACUGUCAGAUCGAUUAACAGCAAGUUAUGAAAUUAGUAAUUAAGGGCACCCUCGAUCAAACCAUUUUUCUCUCUCAACGUCACACUAAAUCAUGUCAAAUGUAUCUUUCCGUUCCAAAUGUCGUCGACUAACUUCCAACGAACAAAAUGUCUCAAUACACUAAGUUCGAUACCUUCGUGUUCCUUGUGGAGAUAACCGAAGAAUUUUUCCGUUAUUGUAGCAUUUUCGUUGCUGCUUCUUAAUUUAAAAGUAAAGAAAUAAAAUUAGUUUGAAAAAGCAAUUAAAGUAAUUCACGUGGGUUUCUUUGAAGACGGCGGAAAAUCGAUGAUAAAACGAAAUAGAAAUAGAAAUAAAAUAAAAUAAAAU